AACGAACGCUGGCGGCAGGCUUAACACAUGCGAGUCGAACGCAUCCUUCGGGGUGAGUGGCAGACGGGUGAGUAACGCGUGGGAACGUGCCCUUCAGUUCGGGAUAACCCCGGGAAACUUGGGCUAAUACCGGAUACGUGCGAGAGCAGAAAGAUUUAUCGCUGAAGGAUCGGCCCGCGUCUGAUUAGCUAGUUGGUGGGGUAAUGGCCCACCAAGGCGACGAUCAGUCGCUGGUCUGAGAGGAUGAUCAGCCACAUUGGGAGUGGGACACGGCCCAGGCGCCUACGGGAGGCAGCGGUGGGGAAUAUUGGGCAAAGGGCGCAAGCCUGAUCCAGCCAGGGCGCGUGAGUGAUGAAGGCCUUAGGGUUGUAAACCUCUGUUAGCAGGGAAGAAGCGAAAGUGACGGUACCUGCAGAAAAAGCACCGGAUAACUACGUGCCAGCAGCCGCCGUAA
rnacentral:rRNA from 1 species